UUCCUUUCCGUCGUCGCGCUUCCUCGUCGUCGUCCACAUGGGCCAGGCCCAAUGAAACCUGCGGUCCACACUCCCUCCCGCACCCGGCCACCCUCCUCUCUCUCCUCCUACUCACAUCUCUCCUCCGCAUACGGCGCCCGUCACACCGCCGUCACGUCCUCCUCCUCGAUCGCCGCCUCCACCACGCGGAUCCGGCCUCAAUCGCAUCCCCCUCGACUGUCUCUUCCAGCGCACGUCUAGGAGGCAUGGAGCCCGGAUGGCCUCCCUAGACUGCCAUCUAGAUCAGCACCACAGAUGCGUGGCUCGAGGCAUGGGGGCCUAAAUCCGGGCAUAGGUGUCCGAGAUUUGGGCAUGGUCGUCCGGAUCCGAUCUCCUCGCUUGAUCUUCCUUUUUUCCUGAUUCUAAGAUCCAGUUGAAGUUGCUUGCUGAAGAAAUGCAGGCAAUAAACAAAUUUACGUUUCUUAACUGAAACCUCGUGGUUCCCUUAGCUAUCAGAUCUGGAGUUGAUCAGAUGGAUCUUUCUCAAACAAAUUUAUGUCUGUAGCUUUCAGGUUGGUAGCUGUCUUCAGAAAUUUAUAUUUUUAAGACGUUUCCAUGAUUUGAGGCUAUACCACACAGCCUUUAUAUAGAUUUAUUUUUACAAAGUAUGGACCUUUUAAGUGAGAACAAAAAUAUGUUGUUUUCCAGAUUAUAUGGAGCCUGAUCGGUAGUCAACACAUGUAUUUCAUUGUUUAUUAUCAGAUAUCUCUUUCUACAUUCGCCUGCUCCCCUUUGCUUUGAUAGCAGAACAAUUGCAAGCCCAAUAGGUGCUAAUACAUUGUUCGAUAUUCAGGUUAUCAAUUGCUUCAGUGGUCUCUACGUAUUUCAAUAGUUGGAGGCUUGGGCCACAGUUUUACGAUCCUUUUACAACCAUUUCUUCUGAUUUUGGUUGUUAAACAAAUGUAAUAUUUUUGUAUGACAUCCAUGGCCAAAUUUCUCUUCUUUUUUUUCACACGCGCAACAAUUGGGAAUAAAACAGACCAUGAACAUGAGUUUGAAAUGUAAAAAAAAGGUCUGAAAGACUUAUUCUUUUUUUUAAGGAGGAUAAGAAAAUGUAAAGAUUAUUUUUUUAUGUUAUUAUGUGUUAUUUACUACCUUUGGCUUUGGGAAAACUUUUCUACUUUGGAAGUUCUUGACAAGUCCCAAGUGGAGGAGAUUAAGAAUCUAUGAUGCUGCUAUCAAGGGCCGCUGCACUGUUUGCACUGAGUCUCUGCUUCAAAAAAAUUCUUUUUUUAUAUUUUUUUUUCUUUUUCCAGGUUGAAUUUGGUAUAUUGGAGUUCAAUCAGUCCAUUUUCCCAUAUGUGCCAAAACCACAUUAAUUUGUAGUAAGAAGUAUGAUCUUAUGUGGGCUACCUAGCUUCACAAUUUGCUUCUAAAAAUAUACUGUACCAUUCACCAUAUCAUGAUCCCCAGUGUUCCAGACCAAAAGGCACAAAAAGCUUUAAGAAUAGCAAAUCUCUCGCCCAGGUCUCUCCUUUGUUUAGAGUUUGUGUGUUUGGGUUAUUUAGCUGUUGCUUUUGGUUGUUAUAAUAAGGGUUUAUUCCUUUUGAUGUAGGUUGCUGGACUAUGCUGCUGUUGCCAUGAGUGAUCGGCGUGCAAAUGGUCAUCGCAGUGUCACUCCUUCUGCUCCAUGAUAUUUGCCUUCGCUUUGGCGGCGCAAUCGAGGGCUUGGUGAAUUCGUGUUACGGUGAUUCCACACCAGCUGUUGUUGAUCCCUUUUUCGUGUCAUCUGUUGAUCAUGUUGGGGUGUCUUCUGCUGUUAAUUCUUCUACGGAUAUUGAUGCUCGAAGAUCUUCGCAAACACGAUAUAUACAUGUGAGUUUUGUUUUAUCCUCAACAGACUAGCAACAUCGCUGUUUGGCAACAUGCCACUACUUGCUAAUUUGAAAUAUGGCUUCAGAAUUUAGACAAUUAGAAGCAAAAGGUAUGUUACAGUACCGGAUAUCAUGCUCAUUCUCUACUGCAUUCUGUUAUCAUGUGCUGGUGUUUUUCAUAGCAAUAAGGUUUGAGAUUAUUAUCUCUGGAGUACAACUAUAGUUUAGAUCGCGUUACUGCUAUGAUAUGUAUGAUUUAUGUUACAUGCUAAUUCUCUGUAGUGGCAUAUUCAAUAGUUUCUUUUCUCUGCUUUGUGUUGGUCUAUGUAGAAGCCUAUCACUUAUCUUAUCUAUCUACGUAAAACUUCUUAUCGUUGUAACAAGCUCACUUAAUAACAUGCCAUGGUCUAUCUGUAUUUUUUUUUUGCUUUGCCUUUUCAAAUUCUAGCUUAUUCAUAUGAGCACACAAAACAAAACUCAGUAACAUCACAAUUACAUUUUUCAACUCAACAAGAAGAAUUCAGAGCUGAUUGAUACAAUCAGCUAUAACAUGCAAAGGAAAUUUCGCAUUUAGGAACUCAGGAAAGAGAAGCAUACUAGCUGGUAGCAGAUCAGCUCGAUUCCCCAUCUCCAGCUCCCCUUCUUCGGGAACUCACUACUUGGCAGCAAACCAUUUCACCGGAGAUGACCAGCUUCUCCUACUGUUGUAUACUCCUCCACCACCAUCGCUACCACUGCCACUCCCACUUCUGCCGCUGCCUUUGCCUUGCGGAUGGCGCCAUGGAGUACCUCCUCCUGUCAACCUUGAACUAUACCGCCGCUCGCUUUCCGGGAUCGCUCCUCCGCCGUCCCGUCCCUAAUCAGCUCGUCGAGUCUCGCCAAGAAAAAGAUCGAUUACGGCAGUACAGACGGGACUAUGGCUAGCUCCCGUAGCCAGUCCCCCGAGACCACAUCCGGCUCGAGUUGGCCGACGUCAAAGUGACAGAAAGUGGCGGAGAACAAGGCGGCGACAUGAUUCCAGGCCGGUGCCAGCGGACGACAGUAAUCUGAUCCUCCCAAUCCGGUGCAGGUAGUUAUAUAGUCCUCCUGAGUUGGUGCCAAUCAAAGCGGCGAGAGGAGAAGAGACCGCCACGUCACACUUCAGGGCAGGGCAAAAAAAAUCAUUUUCCUGCGCUUGCUACUCGAGUUUCACUGUGCGCGAGAGCACAUGAAUUACCUGUGGCCACAUGUCACCCGCUUGACGUUGCCACCAUCGCCGAGCUCGGCUCUGGCAUGAGUGGGGCGACGCAUCGACAACCAUACACGUGGAACUUGCAAUAGGUCUCGAUGCCGCCCCUAUCGCCGCAGGCCCGGAACCGUGAAGGCACUGUUCAAGUAGAUCUCGCCGCAGAGCCGGCCGCUGGACCUGAUUUUUUGGGUCUAUUUUUUCAACUGUGGAAGAACUGCGCACGACCGCUGAAGUAGCUACCUCAAAUUCAAUUAUGGCAUCCGCUGUAGCAGCUACCUGUAAUUCAACUAUUGAAUUUGUUCUGCUAAUGAAUAUUGUGUUGUUCAUAGUUCUCCUCCAGCAGGUAGUGAAAGGUGAAGUUGGCCAGCCACCGUGGGAGCCUCCCGGUUAGCCUGUUGGAGUAGAGGUUGAGGAUGGAAAACCAGUCGCCCACAUUGUCUGAUGUGUCGGCGGGAUCUCUCCAGAGUGGUCAUUGUUGCCGAGGUGCUGUAGCGGGAUGCAGCGUGGAGAUUUUGGCGGAGACUUCUGUUUGCAGCGUGCGACGGAAAAAGAAAAGAAGAGGAAUAGACACAUCGAGCCUUGCCUGUGGGCAUCCUCUACCUAGAUGAAGCUGGUGUAAAUUGAACAGAUUGCUUAUGCGAUGCCUGAUAUGGAAAAGAUAUGUGGUGGAGAAAAAGAAGAGUGCUUGUACUUCUUCUUGAUCUUUUUUCCCUUCCGGUGAAAUAACCAUGACAUGCUUCUACGUGAUUUUCACUGAAAUAUUUGAAACGCAGUGCUCAGCAAUGCAUCUCUGGUUGUUUGAUAUUAGAAUUCAGGUGUUUGACAAAUUAUUUCUUUCCGCA